UAUUAUAUAUUUCCAACUUCAAGAUGCUGGUCAUGCUGCUAAUUGUAGGGACUAGAUGUUGCUGAUCAUGUUAUAGGGAUGUACUGCUUUAUCAUGCGGGUAAGAUUCGGUAGACUUAAAGUGUAUAUUUUUGAUGUCAUGCUUGUAACAUUUAUGUUUUAUAUUUUCUCAAUACUAAUAAAUUGUUUAUAAAUUUGAAGGAAAACACGAGAAGGUAAUUAAUUGGUUGAUUUCGAUACUUUAGUUUGAUUUUUUUUUGAAUUUAUGUUUUGUAACCAUUUGGGUGAAAAGGAAAGGCACAAUACCUCUUAAAAAAUUGAUGACAAAAUCAUUGACUUUACUACAUGAAAUCUCUA
rnacentral:lncRNA from 1 species